rnacentral:rRNA from 1 species
GUGUCAGCCGCCGCGGUAAGACGAACCGUACGAACGUUAUUCGGAAUUACUGGGCUUAAAGGGUGCGUAGGCGGUGCAGAAAGUUGGGUGUGAAAUCCCCUGGCUUAACCAGGGAAUUGCGCUCAAAACUACUGUGCUAGAGGAAUACAGAGGUAAGCGGAACUUAGGGUGGAGCGGUGAAAUGCGUUGAUAUCCUAAGGAACACCGGUGGCGAAAGCGGCUUACUGGGUAUUUUCUGACGCUGAGGCACGAAAGCUAGGGUAGCGAACGGGAUUAGAUACCCGGGUAGUCC